UACAGAGGGUGCGAGCGUUGUCCGGAAUCACUGGGCGUAAAGGGCGCGUAGGCGGCUUGGUAAGCGUGCGGUGAAAGCCCGGGGCUCAACCCCGGGUCGGCCGUGCGAACUGCUGGGCUGGAGCACUGUAGAGGCAGGUGGAAUUCCGGGUGUAGCGGUGGAAUGCGCAGAUAUCAGGAGGAACACCGAUGGCGAAGGCAGGUCUCUGGGCAUUAACUGACGCUGAGGAGCGAAAGCAUGGGGAGCGAACAGG
rnacentral:rRNA from 1 species